rnacentral:rRNA from 1 species
UACGUAGGGUGCGAGCGUUGUCCGGAUUUAUUGGGCGUAAAGGGCUCGUAGGCGGCGUGUCGCGUCGGGAGUGAAAGACCGGGGCUUAACCCCGGUUCUGCUUCCGGUACGGGCAUGCUGGAGUGUGGCAGGGUAGACUGGAAUUCCUGGUGUAGCGGUGGAAUGCGCAGAUAUCAGGAGGAACACCGGUGGCGAAGGCGGAUCUCUGGGCCAUUACUGACGCUGAGGAGCGAAAGCGUGGGGAGCGAACAGG